ACAUUGCCAGCAUGCAUUGGACAAAUGUGAGGCAAGGUGCACAGGAGUUGCUGCACCUCGACUUGGGGAGAGCUGCAGGAACUAUCUUGAGUCCUCUGCUGGCCCUUGGACACAUACUAUUUAGGACUGAAACUUCUUUGAUCCUCAGCCGAUUUUGGUGCAGACCCUCCAGCUCUUGGGUCUCCUGGAUCACUCUUCCUCCAAAUCUAGGGAGUGUCCGCUCUGACAUCUUGGACUGGCCAGUUAUGUAUGAAAGUCUUUUCUAGGUAGAAAAGCUGUCUUUGGGUGAAACAAAAAAAAACU
rnacentral:lncRNA from 1 species